GUAGAGAUUCCGUCACCACCAAAAGAGUUAAACACAGGGACACAUAUGAAGUCUCGGAGCCGGGUGUUGGUUCCGGUAGCGAUCGAGGGAAAUUAGUACCGAAGUCCGGGAUGGAAGAUGGCGAGAAAAGCUGUGUGUAUUUCUGCGGUGCCCGUACCGCAAACCGACACAGGUAGGUAGGAAGAAGAUUCUAAGGCCAACGGGAGAAGGGUUGUUAAGGAACUCGGCAAAUUGACCCCGUAACUUCGGGAGAAGGGGUGCUGCAGCAAUGCAGCCGCAGAGAAUCGGCCCAAGCAACUGUUUUCCAAAAACACAGGUUUGUGCUAAAUCGAAAGAUGACGUAUACGAGCUGACGCCUGCCCGGUGCUGGAAGGUUAAGAGGAGAUGUGCAAGCAUUGAAUCGAAGCCCCAGUGAACGGCGGCCGUAACAAUAACGGUCCUAAGGUAGCGAAAUUCCUUGUCAGGUAAGUUCUGACCCGCAUGAAAGGCGUAAUGAUUUGGGCACUGUCUCAACAGCCCGCCCGGCGAAAUUGUAGUACCGGUGAAGAUGCCGGUUACCCGCGACAAGACGGAAAGACCCCAUGGAGCUUUACUGUAGCCUAAUAUUGGGUUUCGAUGUUGCAUGCACAGGAUAGAUGGGACACUGGGAAGCAGGUGCUUUGGCGCUUGUGGAGUGGCCGUUGGGAUACCAUCCUUGCGAUAUUGGAAUUCUAACCUGCGCCUUUGAAUCAAGGCGGGGGACAUUGUUAGGUGGGCAGUUUGACUGGGGCGGUCGCCUCCUAAAGAGUAACGGAGGCGUUCAAAGGUUCGCUCAGCUUGAACGGAAAUCAAGCAAAAGAGUGCAAACGCAGAAGCGAGCCUAACUGCGAGACUGACGGGUCGAGCAGUAACGAAAGUUGGAGUUAGUGAUCCGGUGGUAUGUGAGUGGAAAUGCCAUCGCUCAACGGAUAAAAGUUACCCUGGGGAUAACAGGCUGAUCUCCCCCAAGAGUCCACAUCGACGGGGAGGUUUGGCACCUGGAUGUCGGCUCAUCGCAUCCUGGGGCUGUAUUCGGUCCCAAGGGUUUGGCUGUUCGCCAAUUAAAGCGGUACGCGAGCUGGGUUCAGAACGUCGUGAGACAGUUCGGUCCCUAUCUGUCGUGGGCGCAGGAUAUUUGAUGGGAGCUGUUCCUAGUACGAGAGGACCGGAGCGGACGUACCUCUGGCGCACCAGUUGUUCUGCCAAGAGCAUAGCUGGGCAACUAUGUACGGAUCGGAUAAACGCUGAAAGCAUCUAAGCGUGAAGCCGACCCAAAGAUAAGAUAUCCCAUUGUUUCAAACAAGUAAGACCCCUUGAAGACUACAAGGUUGAUAGGCACGAUGUGUAAGUGGAGCGAUCCAUUCAGCAAGUGUGUACUAAUAGGUCGAGGGCUUGACCU
rnacentral:rRNA from 1 species